UCAGCCUGUAGUGUACAAUCGAGGUGAGUGCCUGCCUUCCUCACUUGCGGCCCAUGACUGGCAUCAGGAAUUUAAUUGUCAGCCUGUAGUGUAUUAUCGAAAGGACUGCAUUUCCUUCUUCGAGCCCAUGACUGGCCUCAGGAUUAUCAUAGUCAGCCUGUAGUUUACAAUCGAAUUGAGUGCCUUCCUCACUUUCGACCUACGACUGGCAUCAGGAAUUUAAUUGUCAGCCUGUAGUGUUCCGUCGAAGUUACUCCGUUUCUCGCUUCCAGCCAACGACCGGCAUCAGGACUUUAAUUGUCAGGUAAAUUGUUUUUAUUGUACCUUUUUUCCAUUAGAACAUGUUUAUAGCACGUUUUAUUACCUGCUAUAA